GAUGAAUGCUGGCGGCGUGCCUAACACAUGCAAGUCGAGCGGUAACAGGGAUAGUUUACUAUCUGCUGACGAGCGGCGGACGGCUGAGUAACGCGUGGGAACGUGCCCCAAAGUGAGGGAUAAGCACCAGAAAUGGUGUCUAAUACCGCAUAUGGUCUUCGGAUUAAAGUAUUUAUACGCUUUGGGAGCGGCCCGCGUCUGAUUAGAUUGUUGGUGAGGUAAAGGCUCACCAAGUCGACGAUCAGUAGCUGGUCUGAGAGGAUGAUCAGCCAGACUGGAACUGAGACACGGUCCAGACUCCUACGGGAGGCAGCAGUGAGGAAUCUUCCACAAUGGGGGCAACCCUGAUGGAGCAACGCCGCGUGCAGGAUGAAGGCCUUCGGGUUGUAAACUGCUUUUAUGAGUGAAGAAUAUGACGGUAACUCAUGAAUAAGCACCGGCUAACUACGUGCCAGCCGCCGCCGUAACAC
rnacentral:rRNA from 1 species